rnacentral:rRNA from 1 species
CCUACGGGAGGCAGCAGUGAGGAAUAUUGGUCAAUGGACGAGAGUCUGAACCAGCCAAGUAGCGUGAAGGAUGACUGCCCUAUGGGUUGUAAACUUCUUUUAUAUGGGAAUAAAAUGUUCCACGUGUGGGAUUUUGUAUGUACCAUAUGAAUAAGGAUCGGCUAACUCCGUGCCAGCAGCCGCGGUAAUACGGAGGAUCCGAGCGUUAUCCGGAUUUAUUGGGUUUAAAGGGAGCGUAGGUGGAUUGUUAAGUCAGUUGUGAAAGUUUGCGGCUCAACCGUAAAAUUGCAGUUGAAACUGGAAUCCUUGAGUACAGGAGAGGUGGGCGGAAUUCGUGGUGUAGCGGUGAAAUGCUUAGAGAUCACGAAGAACUCCGAUUGCGAAGGCAGUUCACUGGACUGCAACUGACACUGAGGCUCGAAAGUGUGGGUAUCAAACAGGAUUAGAUACCCGUGUAGUC